CGUACCUGGAUGGGGAAUAGCACUCCUGGUUUUGGUCAGUCUGGUUCUGCUCUUGAUUUUGUGCAGUUUCUGCUGUUUGCCAUUUAUCUGUAAGAAGAGCUCAGAUUCCUGCCAAAGUGGCUUCUCCAUUGGGAAGUAAUGUCAUGGAGUCCGUAAUCCUGUUUACUAGAAGUGAAAUUUGCAAUUUAUUCAGUCUCCAUCACCCACAAUCUAUUACUUACUCUGAGUUUGCAAUGCAUUGUGGUACCAUCAGCCAGAAUGUUUUAGUUAUACUCGGGUUGCAAUGCAUUGUGGUCCCAUUACCCACACUCUAUUACUUACUCUGAGUUUGCAAUGCAUUGUGGUCCCAUCACCCACAAUCUAUUACUUACUCUGAGUUUGCAAUGCAUUGUGGUACCAUCAGCCAGAAUGUUUUAGUUACACUCGGGUUGCAAUGCUUGCUGGUCCCCUUAGCUACAAUAUAUGAAUGAUUCUUAGAUUACAAUGCUUUCUGGUCCAAUUAGCCAUUGUUUUUUAAUUAUUCUUAAUUUGCAAUGCAUGCUGGUCCUAUUCACAACAAUCUAUUAGUGAUAUUGAGAUUGCAAUGCACUCUCUCCGAGAGUCCAAUUUAUAACUUGACUUGACUUGGCCACAUGUUUUCCAAUUCUAGUAACAUUAUACAAUACACAUUCCUUGGGGGGAACACAUUGUGGCCCCAUUUACCAUUAUCUUGUACCAGUUUAGGAUUUGAAAUACAUAUUGGAUUCUUUCACUCCAACUGUUUCUAUAUGUUGGUCCUUUUAUCCUUUACUUCGCUUUCCGCUUGUUAUAUUGUUACAUCAAUUUAAUUUUAUUAUAAAGAGCGUUUACAGUAAAAUAUAUUUCAACUCAGGAAUGUGAACUGCAAAAUAGGUGAUAUCCUGAGAAAUGUAUUCUAAAAUCUGUGUAAAAUAUAACUUAUUAAAAUAUAUUUUAAAUAAUUA